UUUUUUUUUUUUUUUUUUGAGAUGGAGUCUUGCUCUGUCGCCCAGGCUGGAGUGCAGUGGCCGGAUCUCAGCUCACUGCAAGCUCUGCCUCCCGGGUUUAUGCCAUUCUCCUGCCUCAGCCUCCCGAGUAGCUGGGACUACAGGCUUCACCGCCCGGCUGGUUUUUUGUAUUUUUUAGUAGAGACGGGGUUUCACCAUGUUAGCCAGGAUGGUCUCGAUCUCCUGACCUCGUGAUCCGCCCAUCUCGGCCUCCCAAAGUGCUGGGAUUACAGGCUUGAGCCACCACGCCCGGCCUCAAUUUUUAAAUUUUUAGUAGAGACAGGGUUUCACCAUGUUGGCCAGGCUGGUCUCAAACUCCUGACCUCAAGUGAUCUGCCCACCUCCGCCCCACAAAGUGCUAGGAUUACAGGUGUGAGCCACCAUGCCUGGCCUCCAACUUUAUUCUUUUAAAUGUGGAUGUCUAGUUGUUCCAGAACUAUCUGUUAAAAAAGUUAUUCUUUCUCUAUUGGAUUAUUUUGGCAACCUUAUAAACAAUCAAUUGACCAUAAAUGUAUGAAUUUUUUUCUGGAUUGUCAGUUCUGUUCCAGUGAUCUAAACGUCUGUCCUUAUGCCAGUACCACACAGUCUUGAUUACUAUAGCUUCACAGUAAGUUUUCAAAUUAAGAAGUGUGAGUCCUCCAAAAUUGUUUUUAUUUUUCAAGAUUAUUUUGGCUGUUCUGGCUUCUUUGGAUUUUCAAAUGUAUUUUAGGGUCAGCCUUAAUCCCAACACUUUGGGAGGCUGAGGUGGGCGAAUUGCUUGAGCUCAGGAGUUCAAGAUUAGCAUGACAAAAUCCCAUCUUUUAAAAACAAAAGACAAAACAAAAGAAAAAUUAGCCAGGCUUGGUGGCAUGUGUCUGUGGUCCCAGCUACUUGGGAAGCUGAGGCAGGAGGAUCACUUGAGCCCAGGAGGUGGAGGUUGCAGUUGUAGUGAGCUGAGAUCACACCAUUGCCCUCCAGCCUGGACAAGCGUGAAACGUCUCAAAAAAAAAAUUAUUCCUAAACAUUUUAUUUUGUUUUUUUUUGAGACAGAGUCUUGCUCUGUCACCAGGCUGGAGUGCAGUGGCGUGAUCUCAGUUCAAGCCAUUCUCCUGCCUCAGCCUCCUGUGUAGCUGUGGCUACAGGUGCACACCACCACGCCCAGCUAAUUUUUGUGUAUUUAGUAGAGACGGGGUUUCAUCAUGUUGGCCAGAAUGGCCUCGAUGUCUUGACCUCAUGAUCUGCCCGCCUUGGCCUCACAAAGUGCUGGGAUUACAGGCAUGAGCCACUGUGCCCGGCCAACUUUAUUCUUUUUGAUGCUGGCCUUUGUCCUUCGUCUUUCAAUAGGAUGACCUCAUCAUUAACAUAAUACUGUCUGGAGAUGUUUCCUUGGUUGUAAAAUGAGAAGCCUAGGGAGAUUAUUUUUAUGAUUCCUUAGUUGUCCCCCUCCCCUCCACUUUUCAAUGUUUAGUCUGUAUUUUGAGUUUGCUUGAAAGAGGUCCCUACGACAUAUCCGCUGGUUAAUCUGCAGCCAUCACUGGGGCUUCUCUACCAUAAAGGAGAUAAAGGACAUGGAGAGCAAUGGCUUUGGAGUCCAACAGGCUAUUGUCCUGGUAAGCCUUUUACUGGCCAUGUGAUCUUGAGGACGUUAUUUCACCUGAGCUUGUUUUUCAUUUGUUGAGUGAGGUUGUUACUGAGGAUUCAAUAGGCGAAGUGAAUGACAGCACCUGGAGCACUGCUAGCCUACUAGGCCCAUUUCAUAGAUUGACGUGCUAUAACAGCCUGGGAGGGUCUCACUUGGCCACCCUAGCAGAAGUGCAGUGCCACAAUCAUGGCUCACAGCAGCCUCGAUGUCCUGGGCUCAAGCAAUCCUCCCCCGUCAGCCUCCUAAGUACCUGGGACUCCGGUGUGUGCCACCAUGCCUUGUUUUUUUUAUAAAUUAUUUUUUAUCUUAGAGAUGGGGCUCUCACUCUGUUACCCAGGCUGGUCUCCCAACUCCUGGCCUCAAGCAAUCCUUCCUCCCUCAGCCUCCCACAGUGCUGGGAUUACAGGUGGAAACCUGCACCUGGCCUCUUCCUUUCAUUGUGAACAUCCAAAAAACUACAAACGUUGAAAUCAUCUUCUUGUAUUGCUGACUCUGGAUUAAUCCAUAUCUUCUACCUCCAUAACACGAUUUCUGAUCUGGGCAAGGGCAGCUUUUCCCCCCUGCCCUUUUUUUUUUUUUUUUGAGAUGGAGUUUUGCUCAUCUCCCAGGCUGGAGUGCAGUGGCGUGAUCUUGGCUCACUGUAACCUCUGCCUCCUGGGUUCAAGUGAUUCUCCUGCCUCAGCCUCUUGAGUAGCUGGGAUUUCCAGUGCCC
ensembl:lncRNA